rnacentral:rRNA from 1 species
GUUGAACGCUGGCGGCGUGCCUAAUACAUGCAAGUCGAGCGAACAGACGAGGAGCUUGCUCCUCUGACGUUAGCGGCGGACGGGUGAGUAACACGUGGAUAACCUACCUAUAAGACUAGGAUAACUUCGGGAAACCGGAGCUAAUACCGGAUAAUAUAUUGAACCGCAUGGUUCAAUAGUGAAAGACGGUUUUGCUGUCACUUAUAGAUGGAUCCGCGCCGCAUUAGCUAGUUGGUAAGGUAACGGCUUACCAAGGCAACGAUGCGUAGCCGACCUGAGAGGGUGAUCGGCCACACUGGAACUGAGACACGGUCCAGACUCCUACGGGAGGCAGCAGUAGGGAAUCUUCCGCAAUGGGCGAAAGCUUGACGGAGCAACGCCGCGUGAGUGAUGAAGGUCUUCGGAUCGUAAAACUCUGUUAUUAGGGAAGAACAAAUGUGUAAGUAACUAUGCACGUCUUGACGGUACCUAAUCAGAAAGCCACGGCUAACUACGUG